rnacentral:rRNA from 1 species
AACGAACGCUGGCGGCAGGCCUAACACAUGCAAGUCGAACGCUCGUAGCAAUACGGGAGUGGCAGACGGGUGCGUAACGCGUGGGAACAUACCCUUUGGUUCGGAAUAACUCAGGGAAACUUGAGCUAAUACCGGAUACGCCCGAGAGGGGAAAGAUUUAUUGCCGAAGGAUUGGCCCGCGUCUGAUUAGCUAGUUGGUGAGGUAACGGCUCACCAAGGCGACGAUCAGUAGCUGGUCUGAGAGGAUGAUCAGCCACACUGGGACUGAGACACGGCCCAGACUCCUACGGGAGGCAGCAGGUGGGAAUA